CCUACGGGGGGCAGCAGGGAGGAAUAUUGGUCAAUGGACGGAAGUCGGAACCAGCCAUGCCGCGUGCAGGAAGACGGCGCUAUGAGUUGUAAACUGCUUUUGUACAAGGGUAAACCGGAAUACGUGUAUGCAGCUGAAAGUACUGUACGAAUAAGGAUAGGCUAACUCCGUGCCAGCAGCCGCGGUAAUACGGAGGAUCCAAGCGUUAUCCGGAUUUAUUGGGUUUAAAGGGCGUGUAGCCGGGUUGACAAGUCAGAUGGGAAAUCCUGCGGCUUAACCGCCGAACUGCAUUUGAAACUGUUGAUCUUUAGUACUGGAGAGUCAGCCGGCAUUCCUAGUGUAGCGGUGCAAUGCGUAGCUCUUAGGAGGACCACCAGUGGCGACGGCGGUCUGCUGGACAGCAACUGCCGGUGAGGCGCGCCAGCGUGGGGAGCAAACCGGAUUAGCUACCCCAGUAGUC
rnacentral:rRNA from 1 species